rnacentral:tRNA from 1 species
GGAGAGAUGGCCGAGUGGCCGAAGGCACACCCUUGCUAAGGGUGCAGGGGAGAAAUCCUCUCGAGAGUUCGAAUCUCUCUCUCUCCGCCA